rnacentral:rRNA from 1 species
CACAGAGAAGCUUGCUUCUUGGGUGGCGAGUGGCGAACGGGUGAGUAACAUAUCGGAACGUACCGGGCAGUGGGGGAUAACUAAUCGAAAGAUUAGCUAAUACCGCAUAUCUUCUGAGGAAGAAAGCAGGGGACCAUUUGGCCUUGCGCUGUUUGAGCGGCCGAUAUCUGAUUAGCUAGUUGGUGGGGUAAAGGCCUACCAAGGCGACGAUCAGUAGCGGGUCUGAGAGGAUGAUCCGCCGCACUGGGACUGAGACACGGCCCAGACUCCUACGGGAGGCAGCAGUGGGGAAUUUUGGACAAUGGGCGCAAGCCUGAUCCAGCCAUGCCGCGUGUCUGAAGAAGGCCUUCGGGUUGUAAAGGACUUUUGUCAGGGAAGAAAAGGGCGGGGUUAAUACCCCUGUCUGAUGACGGUA